GACACCUUCAGGACAAAAUGGAGAGGAGUCGGAAGGGCAAGCGAACAUUCCUGUUAAAGCGGCACCGCGCUCCGCUUCUUGGGGCCGACAGGAGACAAGGCUAUUCUGUCUCUUCUUCUUCGGUGGGCUCUUUGUUUUCUCAAACGCCAAAUUCUUAGAAGACCCAGGCAUUCACCUAAGAACUACUGGACGCCCACCAGCAAGGCGCCAGGAGUCCUGCUGGGGGCGCUGGGCUUAGGGCGGGGAGGGGGAGCCCACUGGCUUCCCUACAUCCUCACCGUCAUGGGGCCUUUGUGGUGAGUGGAGAUCCUGCUACCUCAGCAGACAUCUUAUGAAUUCAUGUGCCUCAGAGACUCUCUGGACCCAAGUCAUUCUCAGUAUUCUAGCCUCAGGCUCCUGGUCUGCAAAAUGGGGAUGAUAGUAUGAGACGAGAUGUUCAUCAGGAUGGAAUGGGUCCAUAUCUGCAAAGCAUUCGGAACAUCCCUGGGACACAGCACAGGUUACUAUUAUCACAGAUAUACCAGAAUGCGACGUGUCUGGUUAUAUAAAAGAAACACUUCUCCCUGGAGGUGCCUUCAGUCUGACGCCCAGGUGCGUAGGGGGUGGGUGCCUGGGAAGGAAGCAGUUCAGGAGAAUGGCCUCGUGUCCACAGGUGGCCUCGCACACCCGCCCACCUGCCCGCCCAGCACCUCUGGUCCUGCUACAGCACCAGGACCAGUCCGGGCUUGCUGUGGCCCACUCCCAAAAUCAUGCCUAUCGCUCUGAAUCUGGACUGAAUGUCUGCAACCCCAUACGGCCCCAGCAAGUCUCUUCUUGACAGGCUGGAAUAGCCAGAACCCGGGGCGGGGGGGGGUGGUUGGAAAACACUUUCUGGACGUACAGAGCCAGUUCCACAAAUGUGCU